GAUGAACGCUGGCGGCGUGCCUAAUACAUGCAAGUCGAGCGAACGGACGAGAAGCUUGCUUCUCUGAUGUUAGCGGCGGACGGGUGAGUAACACGUGGAUAACCUACCUAUAAGACUGGGAUAACUUCGGGAAACCGGAGCUAAUACCGGAUAAUAUUUUGAACCGCAUGGUUCAAAAGUGAAAGACGGUCUUGCUGUCACUUAUAGAUGGAUCCGCGCUGCAUUAGCUAGUUGGUAGGGUAACGGCUUACCAAGGCAACGAUGCAUAGCCGACCUGAGAGGGUGAUCGGCCACACUGGAACUGAGACACGGUCCAGACUCCUACGGGAGGCAGCAGUAGGGAAUCUUCCGCAAUGGGCGAAAGCCUGACGGAGCAACGCCGCGUGAGUGAUGAAGGUCUUCGGAUCGUAAAACUCUGUUAUUAGGGAAGAACAUAUGUGUAAGUAACUGUGCACAUCUUGACGGUACCUAAUCAGAAAGCCACGGCUAACUACGU
rnacentral:rRNA from 1 species